rnacentral:rRNA from 1 species
GUAGGUGGCAAGCGUUGUCCGGAAUUAUUGGGCGUAAAGCGCGCGCAGGCGGUUCUUUAAGUCUGAUGUGAAAGCCCACGGCUCAACCGUGGAGGGUCAUUGGAAACUGGAGAACUUGAGUACAGAAGAGGAAAGCGGAAUUCCACGUGUAGCGGUGAAAUGCGUAGAGAUGUGGAGGAACACCAGUGGCGAAGGCGGCUUUCUGGUCUGUAACUGACGCUGAGGCGCGAAAGCGUGGGGAGCAAACAGGGAUUAGAUACCCUGGUAGUCCACGCCGUAAACGCUGAGUGCUAAGUGUUAGGGGGUUUCCGCCCCCUUAGUGCUGCAGCUAACGCAUUAAGCACUCCGCCUGGGGAUACGGCCGCAAGGCUG